GAUGAAGAACGCAGCGAAAUGCGAUAAGUAAUGUGAAUUGCAGAAUUCAGUGAAUCAUCGAAUAUUUGAACGCACAUUGCGCCCGCCAGUAUUCUGGCGGGCAUGCCUGUUCGAGCGUCAUUUCAACCAUCAAGCCCCCGGCUUGUGUUGGGGACCUGCGGCUGCCGCAGGCCCUGAAAACCAGUGGCGGGCUCGCUGUCACACCGAGCGUAGUAGAUUUUCAUCUCGCUCAGGGCGUGCUGCGGGUUCCGGCCGUAAAAAGCCUUAUUUACCCAAGGUUGACCUCGGAUCAGGUAGGAAGACCCGCUGAACUUAAGCAUAUCAAUAAGCGGAGGA
rnacentral:misc_RNA from 1 species